rnacentral:rRNA from 1 species
GCCCAUUAGCUAGCCCUUUUACUAACAUCAACAAAUCACUAUUAAUUAACCCCGCACCCACUCACCCUAACUAAACAAACCAUUUCAAGCCCCCAGUACGGGAGACAAAACAGGAACUCACGGAGCAAUAGAAAAAGUACCGCAAGGGAACGCUGAAAAAGAGAUGAAAUAGCCCAGUAAAGCCUAAAGAAGCAAAGAUUAAACCUUGUACCUUU